rnacentral:lncRNA from 1 species
UAUAUUAUCUUUUUUUCCUAUGCACAACUUUUCAACCAGCAAUUUUGCUCCAACUCUUAAUGAUUGCAAUGUUUCUAAAAAGAAAUUUCACUAGGGAGAUACUUUAAAGAAAUCAUUUUUCGAUUUUCUCAAAAGUUUACUCAUCAAAUUUGAAAAACCGAAAAAAACCACGAAAAUAUAAGACAUUUAAGUAUUAGUUUAUAAAUAUUAGGGCCUUCUUUUUUUCUGUGCACUCAAGAGAGGUCAUUUUUUGAAUUCCUCAUAAGUUUUCCAAGAAAAUGUGAAAAACCGGGAUAAACGUAGGAAAACUGAAAAUCAGUACAUUAAACAAAUAUUAUUAAAGAAAAUAUAUAGAGCCUAUUUAAUUAUUUUACUAUAAUAUGACAUUUAUAUUGUUGACAAAGCAUCAAUAUCAACUGUACUCCACUCAGAAUCGUUUUUUCGUAAGCAAUGGCUUAUCGUUGCUUAAAGAUAUACAUUAAAUUUCGGUCUGUAUCCUACCUUUCCAACUUCCCACCUACAAAGUGGCUGCACCCACAUGCGAAGUAUGUCCGUCCUUUUUUAUUUAAUUAUUAGAAUUAACAGCUAUCGGUUUUUUAAAAUAUUACAUAAUGGAAGAAAAUACAAUGGUAACAAUAUGAUAAUAGUAACUUAAAACCUAAACUUAAUAAACUAGAGUAUUAAAAACGAAUAAAUGUGGUGUAACAUUGUAAAAAAAAAUAUUUGCCUAUGCACUAAAGGUAUUAUAUUAAGUUUUUAUAACGUAUCAUUUUUGAAAGUGAAUCAUUUCUGGAGAAGUUAGAUUUGUUAUUAGGGGGAUAGAAAGAACUCUGAAAUCUAGUAUUUCUAGGAAUACGAAAAUAAAAUAAUUUGAGGCGCCUCAAGGAGAUUUAAUUUUUACCCGACUAAAAGUUAAUUGUUAAUAUAAGUACAGAAUCAUGUGCCUAGAUAAUAAUUUUAUAUGAGACACAUUUAUCACACAUUAUGACUUUAAAAUAUUGUAUGCUGUAUUAAUGCUUUUUUUGUUUGAUACUAAAUUUAUUCAAAAUAAGCCGCUCUUAGUCAAAAUAAAAUAAAAUAAACUGUUAAUAUAUACAUAAUAUGGUUAUGUAAUUUUUUUCUGAGAGGGUAAUCGGGUCAUAACCCCCCUUGAGUUUUUGAACUUUCCUUAAAAAAAUUGUGGAAUACAAUGUUUUUUAAGAUCGAUAAACCUCUAAUUUGAUAACCUCCUCCAACAGGAAAUUCUCAUUAUAAUCGUGCUACAUGUCUGCAUUGUAUAUUAAAAUAUAUAGGUACUGAUUAGAUUAAACUGAUAAGAUUUUAUUAUAAUUUACGAGUUAACUGUUAAUUUUUUGCAAUAUGUAAACUGAAAUUGCUAAUCAUUAUAACAGUAUGUACUAAAUAGUUUUUAAAUAAUUACAAGAUAAUUAUGUUGUAGGUAGUAUUAAAUAUUUAAUAACAACAUUAUGUAUAUUAGGUAUAUUAUAUUAUUAUUUAUGGCUUAUUAAGUACUUAGGUAUGCAAAUAAAAAAAAAUGUAAGAGAUUUGAACUCCAUUAUAAACACAGAUAACCUUUUUAUUUAACUUUAUAACAGAUUAAAGUCCGAAAUUGUUUUAACAAUAGUUAAUCAGUAGGUACUAGGUACAUUAUAUUAGGUACCUAUAUACGUAGUUAUUAAAAUAUUACAACAUUUUAGAAUAAUAAAAAAUAACCUAAUAUUGAAAAUGGUAUCACAACAAAGAUCCAUUUACUGAAAAACUAUAAUCAAAUUUAACAACAACAGAGAAGAAAUAAUUAUUAUUAAUCGACAUUUCAUCUGAUUUUAUGUUAUAAAUAACAUUUUCUUUAAUGUCAAUUUAAAGAUUUUGGAAUAAUAUUGAAGACGAAUACCCUGAAGUCGCCAAUAAAAUUAAGCAUGUAUUUUACCAUUUAUUAUAAACAAAGCUGGAGAAAUUAAAAAAUAACCUUCCUAAAAUACCACCCCGUUAAAAUUUUCU